UGGCCCCGCGCUGAGCGGCAGCUGCCCCCCGCCCCCCGCCGGCCCGCCCGGGACAGCCGCAGCCCCCCGGUGCCGGGCCCGCGCCGGGCCGGUGCCGCUUCCCCCCAGCGCGAGCAGCGGAGGGCGGCGCGGGGGCAGGUCCCGGCAUCGCUCCUGGCCAGGAGAGUAGCCCGGGGGCUUCCCUGGAGCUGCAGGAGUGAGGCUAAGCUGGGGGCCAGGUGUCUCCAUCCUUCCACAGCCCCUGCCCAGGGCCUGGGGGCAUGAGUGAAUAGUUAACAGCAAUGCUGUCUCACUUUUCCAAUGCUGGCAAGGAGGCGGAGGGUGCUACCCUUCUCCCGUGCAUCAGGAUCAAGUGCUGUGGGACCAAGCAUGCAGUGGCUGCCAGACCCAACGACAGCGGGUGAAACAAUAGUCCCAGGACCUCUGCAGUGCCCAGGCUCCUGCUCCCCGCAGAUGCUGGCUGUCACUAGAGGUCACCAGCACCACAGCACCGGCCCCACCACGCUCUCCCGAGCACAAGGGAGGGGAGCGGGGAGCAGGGAGCAACGGGACUCCACACACCACCCCCCACCCCCCCGGGCUUCCAUGCGGCUCAUCGCGGGUGGCUGAUGAGACAACUCCGCAUUCCCGGGGCUGCGGUCCACAGGCUGCGGGUGCUGCGCUUGUAGAGGGACACACAGGCAGCCCAUGCCCACAACAUGCUGCUUUCCAAAUAUUUUUUUAAAAAUAAAAACGUUGGAUACAAAAA